UAUGUAUGAAUAAGAGAUGUGGACGGAAAAUUAUGUAGAAUGUUUUUCUGUUUUCCAAUAUUGGCAAUAUUAUAAUAAUUUUUACUGAACCUUGCAAAUAAUAAUUGUUUUCUAUUAUUAGGCCCACACGAUUAGAUGCGAAUGUACGCCAUUUUGAUCCUGCUGCAAUGAUUUCGCAGGUUAUGUUUCUAAUGCGAUAUAUAAUCCCACUAUACUAAAAUAAGAUACAAAAUUUCACGAUUUUUUGGAAAUUAAUAUCAAUUUAAAAGAACUUUUUUGAUUUUUUUCUAAUUUAAUAAUUAUUUUAAUUCAUUGUUCUUCCAAAAAAUGACAACUAAUUACAGUUAAGAAUUAAACGACCACUCAAACUUAAUUAUUACACGUAAACUAUAAUUGAUAUGAUCAUAAAAUUUGUAUACUAAUUAAUCUAAGAUAAAAUUACUGCAAUGUUCUUAAUAUAAAGAAAACAAAAAAUAUUCUAUGAAUUUUUCGUACACAUUACGCACGUAUCCGAUAUUUACUCGAGCUAUCUUGUUAUUGGACAUUUCAAGAGAGUUUAGUUGUUCGAGAGGCGCCAGUAAUCUCGCAGAUAUCUCCGACAAUUGAUUACUUCUGAAGUUCAACUCGCGAAGUGACGUUUGCAUCCGAAAUAAUUCAUCGGGUAAUUCCCUCAGUCGAUUUUCCUCCAAACCAAGAUAUUUGAGAUUUGUCAAGUCUUUAAACAGGUCGACAGGAAAGAUCGAGCAAUACUAGCAACGUUGUGCUCAAGAAGAGGCUCUCUGGUAGAUUUCGCAACUUAUUGGAAGACGCAUCUCUGCAUCGCAUCAGGAGCCAAGGAGAAGAUACAUUUAAUUAAUUAGAAAAAGAAUCGUUAGCGAAAAGAAGGAAGAACAAGGAGGAGAGGGAAGGAUGGAAGGAGGGCUUACAAUUUCAACACGUCCCGAGGAACUAGCUGCGCCGCAGGAAGAUCCAACAGAUCCUGUCUCCAACAAGACACCAAUUUUAUUUCCGGUUGACAUCUACACGGCCCUUCAGCGCAAAUCUCCCAGUCUCCCUCGGCUGAGCUCAU